GGGGGUAUAGCUCAGGGGGUAGAGCGCUUGACUCCUGUCAAGAGGUUCUUGGUUCAAAUCCGGGUGCCCCCU
rnacentral:tRNA from 1 species